GUAGGCUGCAACCCGCCUGCAUGAAGUUGGAAUUGCUAGUAAUCGCGGAUCAGCAUGCCGCGGUGAAUACGUUCCCGGGGAUUGUACACACCGCCCGUCACACCAUGAGAGUCGGGAACACCCAAAGUCCGUAGUCUAACCGCAAGGAGGACGCGGCCUAAGGUGGGUUCGAUAAUUGGGGUGAAGUCGUAACAAGGUACC
rnacentral:rRNA from 1 species